UGUGAGUGUGUGUGUGUGUGUGUGUGUACACUGCAGAGUGCUACAGUCAUAUCACAAAGACAUACAACCUCCC
rnacentral:pre_miRNA from 10 species